GGAUGAACGCUGGCGGCGUGCUUAACACAUGCAAGUCGAACGAGAAAGCUCCUUCGGGAGUGAGUACAGUGGCGAACGGGUGCGUAACACGUUGGUGACCUGCCUUGAGGAGGGGGACACCGUGGGAAACCACGGCUAAUACCCCGGAUGUCUAAACUGUUAGAGGGUUUAGACUAAAACUUCGGUGCCUCAAGAGGGGCCUGCGGGCUAUCAGCUUGUUGGUGGGGUAAUGGCCUACCAAGGCUAAGACGGCUAGGGGGCGUGAGAGCGCGACCCCCCACAAUGGAACUGAGACACGGUCCAUACUCCUACGGGAGGCAGCAGUGAGGAAUAUUGCGCAAUGGGGGAAACCCUGACGCAGCAACGCCGCGUGAACGAUGAAGGCCUUCGGGUCGUAAAGUUCUUUUCUAAGGGAAGAUAGUGACGGUACCUUAGGAAUAAGUCCCGGCUAACUACGUGCCAGCAGCCGCGGUAAAACGUAGGGGGCGAGCGUUAUCCGGAUAUAUUGGGCGUAAAGCGCACGUAGGUGGCAGCUGUAAGUUAGACGUGAAAGCUCUCGGAUCAACUGAGAGAGGUCGUAUAAAACUGCAGUGCUUGAGGUUAGAAGAGGAGAGCAGAAUUCACAGGUGUAAUGGAUGGAAUGCGUAGAUAUCGGGAGGAAUACCAGUGGAGAAG
rnacentral:rRNA from 1 species